CGUCCCCGACUCGCCCCCACGCCCGUGCUAAUCCUCGUCCGCGGCGGUUCGGCGGCGGCGCUCCGUGAAGAGGGGCGGGGGCAGCGAGGAUGGAGGCGGAGGAGGAGUCUGUGGGGAAGGAGUGGGGCUGGGACGGGAACGGGGAAGAAGAGGGACGGGCGUGGGGACGGGGAGGAAAAGGGGCAGCGAGGGUCGAGGCGGAGGAGGAGUCCACCGGGGGCGGGGAUGGGGAGGAAGAGGGGCCGCGAGGGUGGAGGCGGAGGACAAGUCCGCGGGGAGGGAUAAGGGCGGGGCGGGGAUGGGAAGGAAGAGGGGCGGCGAGGGAGGAGACGGAGGAGGAGACCGCGGGCGCUGUGGGGCGAGAUGGAGGAGGAGUGCCUCGCCACGGCAAGCGCCGCCAGCAAUGCCAUGGCCAUGAUGCAGCGCCUGCAGAAGGAGAAGGCCGAGGUCUAGAUGGAGCUUGACGCCGAGAUCGACCACCGGGACUCGCCGCUAUCGGUCACCAGCGAUGACCUUAGGCCCUUACCAUGGCUAGGGUUUCGGGCGCGUCCACACUGGCGUGGCUCCCGCGCCUCCAGCGGCUCUUCUCCGACGCCCACCGCGCCCUCACACGCAGCUCCCAUCUCUAGGAAGCUGCUCCUUCGCCUGGUGCCCAUGUGGUGAGUUCAUCCCCUCCCCUAUCUCUCCCCCUUUCUCUCUCUAAUAUCUGGUUUGUUCCUCACACUGGCGUGGCUCCCGCGCCUCCAGCGGCUCCUCUCCGACGCCCACCGCGCCCUCACACGCAGCUCCCAUCUCUAGGAAGCUGCUCCUUCGCCUGGUGCCCAUGUGAUGUGCAGGGCAAGGAUUGGAUGCUUGAGGAAGGAGGGGUCGCCCUUGCCUUGCUGCAGCUCGGGGCGCACCACCCAUGGCGCUUCCUCCUUUCUGUCUUCAGUUGAGUUCACCUCCUCCUCUCUCUGCUCUUGUACGUGGCCAUUGAGGCAUUGCUCUUGGUUAGGAUUUACCACAGUUUGGGCUCAAUUGGCUACUAUUUGAGGUCAAUUUUGUUGAUACUGUUAAGUGUAGAUUGUUCCUUGAAUUGAACAGCAAGGUUAACCAUGAAUUUGUUAGUUGAAUUGAUGCCUGACUAAACUGCAGUUGUUAGUUGAAUUGUUCAAUCUUCAAUUUAGGGAGCUGCUACUGAAAGAUGAAAAAAAUUUGGUACUGUUUGAGGUCCCUGUGCCUCCCGUGCUCAUGAACUUGCUUCUGUUUGAGCUCAAUUUUUUGGUACGGUUUAUGUGUUAAUUGAUCCAUGUUGUGUUGCAUCCCACCCUCCCCUUCGGUGACGGCAGCCAACGCUUGCAUCGGAGGAGCUGUUGCUGUGCUUCCUUCUCUGAUUUUUCAGGGUCAAAGUCAUUAUGUUCACCAUGAUGCAGAUUGCCAUCACAUUCAGACCCAAAGAUCUGGGAACUAUGAACUUGAUUAAAAGGGCAGGGUCAAAUUCAAGACCCGGGUUAGUGGCGACUAUGAUGGUCGCCUGCAGGCUAUGGGUCUAGCAACAUUGCAGGCAGCAGUGUGCAGCGUUUUACGGUAGGGCGUGUGGCCAGUGCUGUCGGGCUCGCGGCGGCUGCAGAUGGUGGAGUACCGGACUUGUGGUGGGCGCCCAUUCACAAGAUCUACAACAUCAUCUUUGCGUCAGUUCUCCAUGAAGGCCAUCCUGCGAUACAAGGUUGCGUCUUCCUGCUAUUUGGGUGACGACGCCGAGCCUGUCGGCCUAUGCCCAUCGCUUCUGAUGUGGUAAUGUGGCGGUCGUUGUUGUUUGCCUGCAGAGGCUGUGGAGAGGUGGGACUUGCAGAGUAUAUGUAGCAGAAAGGAUCCAAGUAUUGGAGCCAAACAACUGUCUAUGCUACCACAUCAAGGUGGGUUGAGGCAAACAGAGUGAGGACAGGAAUAUACAGUAGCAGAAAGACCAAGCAGCCUGGUAGCUCUUUCAUUGAACUAGAUGGAUGCGUGCAUGAGUUCUUUGCAGAGAACGAGUCACAUUUUGAAACUGAAGCUAUAUACAACACUGUUUUAGGGAUUAAUGAACUGUUAGUAGCAGAGUCCUUCCUGAUGUGAAAGCUAAUACAUUUCUAUGGUAACCAUACCUCAGUACCUAUGAUUCAAUAAUCUUCUUUUUGUGAAAUGAUGAAACCCGAAGUAUUUCUAUGUAUUUGCAUUUCUCUCUGAGGCGGGAAGUUUAUUUUCCAGACAUUUAUGUAAUGAGCCACUUAAUGUGCAACUGAGUGCACAUUGUUAUCAAAAUUUUAUUGGUCUAUCUGAGAUGUUUCCUUCUGGUAUUGCAAUUUAUGCUAGGUAAUACCCACAAUUUUUGCUGUGAUGUUACUACGUCAGAAAAUUAGCUGUCCACUGCGUCACUUAUUUGUUCUUCUCUCAUGUUCUUGUCUGACAGUUAUAUUUUUACUCCGAACUUACUAACCCAGCUUUGGUUUCUCUGGCUUAAACUAAUCUGGGAGCAGGGUAUCAUGUGCCCGCUCACCUAUUGGUGCGGCUGGUGGAUACAGAGAGAUCAACGAUGAGGAGACCCUCGUCGUUCUUCUGAUUGCAGCCAGUUGCGUGAUGUGAUGGCGGAGUUGUUCUGCAACCGCCUAGGGGCCAUGGACGAUGGAGAACUUCCUAACGCAGUAUGCGAGCGGGGACGAUGGAGAACUUCCUGGCGCAGUGUGCGCGCGAGUGGGUUUCAGGACAGUUCAUGAUACAAGGUCAAGCUCAGCUUGGUGUAAGUUCCAAAUAUAUAUUGUGCCUCAGUUUGAGUUGCAUCCACAAGCAGCUCUCACUAAUUCCAAUACACCUUAAAUUGAUUUGGAUCAUUAGUGUUGGACUGUGGACAUAUAUCUAUAUCCGAUUGUACUCCGGGUGUUUUCAAUUCUGAAAUAUUUUUUGGCAAUUUGAUUCUGAAAUUUUAGCUUGAUGUUGAGAAAACGAGCAAAUUUUGUGGUGCACUUGGAUCAGGUUUUAUGCUUACAGUUUCAAGGGGAAACAUUCGGGGUUGUGAUCCAAGUAUAUGAAAUCAGUUUAUCUAAAUUGAGUUGUCGACAGUACAUCCUCUAAAUUAGCUUAUCUGAAAUCAGUUUGUUUUUAUUAAUUGUUGCGCAGGGGGCAUGAUAGCCAUGGCCAACUUUGAGCCCAGCAUCAAGUUGGAAAGCUUUAUCUGAGAUGUGUUUUUUAGCUAUGCCCUUUUAUGUCUUAGUUUGGUCUCUGAAUUUUUGGGCGGCGCUUAUCAUUUAAGAUCAACACAGCAUUUUGCUUCAUUUGUGCUUCAAAGAAAGCUGCUGCAUAGGGACAUUUGAUGUGGUGGAUUUCAGAGAAUCAUUUUAGGGUAUUGCAUUCCGUUCAGAAAUUUUGACAUUUGGACAGUGUGUACAAUUGAAAGGAAUAGCUGGAUAUGAGUUAUGUAGGUUCAACGUUUCAACUUUUUGACAAUUUUUUAUGUUUAUCCUGGCAGAAAAGUGGAGCAGCUGUGUGAAGAGGUUGCUUAAUUGAAGGGAAUCAUCGAGAAGAUGUUACUAUCUUUGAUGCAUAAAAAUAAUUUUGGAGGAUGCAUGGAUCAAAGAGAUUAUGGAUUACCACAAGCUUAUGUGUAUCCAUUGGAGUUAUCUGUGUAUUAGAAUAUGGAUACACGUGUAACUAUAGCUUCAUUGCCCACCUAUUUUUGAUUUUUAUGCAGUUUUUAUUGCUUAAAAUUUUAUAUUAAUCUUCUUCCGUUGCAAUGCAUGGGUAUUUUUGCUAGCC